CUUAUACCGCAGAAUGAAAGCAUAUUCUUUAAAUCUGACCCUUGCUCCGGUUCGUAGCGCCUGUAGUUCGUCUCGGAGUUAGGAGACGGGCGCACAAUCCCACGAUAGCGGAAGCGGUGCGCCGUCUUCACAACUCCGAGACGAACUACAGGCGCUACGAACCGGAGCAAGGACUAAUCUCGCCUCAUAAUGAGGCGGUGACCUCGUAUUUGCUCCGGGAAAAGUCCAGAUUUAGACGACGUCAUUGUGUAUAAGUGACACUGUUUACUGUUUCUCCUUCCUUGUUCAAUGUUACUGUGACUUGCGUUUGAUUUUUUUUGUAUUCAUACCACUCAUUUAAUUGUUUUCCAGCCGCCUGUGAGACGUAUUGUGAGACGGGACGGAGGAGCUUCAGGUUCAGGCGGAACACUCACCGCGGGCUGAAGCUGCGAAGGAUUCAGCGCGGAGUCGAGCGAGAAGAAAGACGGUCAGAGUUUAUUUGCUGACUUGUUUCAGGUGCAUUGAUCGAUGUGUUGUGUCCGUACGCAUCGCACAGUACGGAUUCAUUGUUGUUUUUACAGCUGCUGGAAUCGAGACAAAGUGCGCUGGCUGAUGACGAGGUGGAACUCUGGAAAUCCGCCACCGUGGAGCUCACGUCGGACGGAGAGGACGGUGUUGUUGGCGGGGUCUCGGGGUGGAUUGUACGGUCGCCACACACACACGAGCCGCCUGCACAACAGACCUGCCUCGGAAAACACGGCGCCAGUGACGGUCAACAACCCCGAGGAGGCAAACGGACAGUUUACUGAGCUGUAGUUUUUAAACCGCCGUUACCCAAGUGCGGGCAGAUCCUCACUUUGUAUGUAGUUGUUGUUUGUGUGUUGUUAAUAAAGCUUUUUCUUUGCAUAAA
ensembl:lncRNA